AGAAAAUGGAAAACACAGAUUACAUUUAAUGGUAUAUAGUAACACCUACUGCAGUGGUUCCCAACUUUUUUUUUUAAAACCGUGUCACAUCCUGAUGGGAUAAACAUUUCUGCGGCUCAAAAACCUUUCCAAAUAAUUUAUUUUGGUUUUAAAUUACCUCCAAUCUCAUCUUGAUCCAUAUUGCAAAGUACUUAUUUUCUGUGACAAACACUGUCACACAGAUAGAACCGUGUGACAUUUCAUGUAUUGUCUGAGCCGGUGCUCCCACGUCAACAUGGCAUGCACAUUCCACAGGUCACAUUUAUAAUUGAGUGUACAUAAAAUAAAAGGGCCUCCCGGGUGGAGCAGUGGUUAAGGGCGCUGUACUGCAGCGCCAUCUGUGCCACCAGAGACUCUGGGUUCGCGCCCAGGCUCUGUCGUAACCGGCCGCGACCGGGAGGUCCAUGGGGCGACGCACAAUUGGCCUAGCGUCGUCCGGGUUAGGGAGGGGUUGGCCGAUGUCUCAUCGCGCACCAGCGACUCCUGUGGUGUUUCCUCCGACACAUUGGUGCGGCUGGCUUCCUGAUUGGAUGUGUGCUGUGUUAGGAAGCAGUGCUGCUUGGUUAAUUUAUUAAUAUAUAUAUAUAUAAAACAAGAUUAGGAUAAGUUUUGUGGUUUACGUGCGAGUUCCCCAAGGCACGCCAGUGUGCCACUUUACAUCGGUUGAAAACCAAAAUGGGCUCACGGUUGAAGAGUCGGUCAGUAAGCUACGUACCACGAUCCACUCUGCAAUGUUCUCAUAGAGCUCAGGGUUGAAGAGUCGGUCAGUAAGCUACGUACCACUAUCCACUCUGCAAUGUUCUCAUAGAGCUCACGGUUGAAGAGUCGGUCAGUAAGCUACAUACCACUAUCCACUCUGCAAUGUUCUCAUAGAGCUCAGGGUUGAAGAUGGCCUUCUUCA